AUCUUCAGUCCCCUAAUUUGGCUGUAGGUUAGUAGAGGGGACAACCCCCAAAUUUAUUAGUCCCGCUUUGCCCUGAAUGUUUCUCUCCAAUUACAUUUCUUAAGAUUUUCUUAUGAUUUGCAUUUCAAUUCUCUCUCUCUCUCUGCUGCUUGUUUCUCUCUGGUUUAAAGAAACACUAAGUUUCCUAUGUUCAGCGAUGCGCCUGUGUGUUGCUUUCUAUUUAAAUGGUGGUUGAGUUGGGUUCAAUCUUCUUCAUGGCGACGCUCAUCUUUUUUCAGCACGCAAUGGUAAGAAUGCAAGGAAGUCAUAAGGACCACAAAGAUCAUAUCACAUGCUGACAUUUGAAGAGUAAAAAGAAUGAAGACUAUUUGUGUCAAUUGUAAUCGCAUUCAAUUUUUGCUUUUGGGUCUGUAAUAAUUAUGGUCUGUAAUAUUUACAUCUCAUGCAUGAUAAGAGUUGUAUGCUCAAGAUACAAAAGACCAUAGACUGACCACUAGACUCCUAAACCCUUAGUAUAAAAUGCUAUAACUUAUUCACACAUGAUUGAAUAAGUGCAAGGACAAAAACAGGGCAAAAUAUGCAACUUCAAAGAGCUCCAGUUGACCAAACUUUUAAAGUUCAAAUCACCUCGGCUGAGCGACGUUAUUUAUUAAAUAUUUUUUAAAAGGGGCUCGGGCGACCGUCCUAUUUAUCAUAUAUCUUCCUUGGCCGCCCGAACAAAGAUCCCAAUCUAACUCGUCUACCUCGGCAGACUAGCCCUCAAGGUUUAAAAUUGACCGGCCGAUUGAGAUUGACCAUUCGGGUAACCGAACAUUAGGUCAGGCGACCGAACUUACUAAGGUUUGGAAAAUCUCUUUGACUCAGCCAACCGACACAGUGAUCGGUCAAUUGAACUCUCAAGAUCUUUCAAAUUUACUGUGCCUGUUCGGGUGACCAGCUCAUAGCUCCGAGCGAUCGAACCUCUCGAGUUCGCGUAUUUUUACUGCUUUAAACAGGGGUUAAUUUUAAUUAAACUUUUCCAAAAAUUACCUUCGUGUUCCUAACAAUCUAAAAUUUAAAGAAUUCUAGAUAUAUCUCUUCAUUUGUCCACAUCAGGAGAUGAUUAUCAUAAAAAUUAUAAAAAAUUCUCUCUGAAUCCUCUUGAACUCCUAUUGCUUAUACUCCACAUUUUCAAGUCUAUAUUUGAUACUCUCUUAUAUUUUUUCUUGCUAAAAUCAUUUUAAAAUAGAGAGUAUUAUUUUCUUAUACUCCUUAUUUGCAAAUUAAUUGCAAUUUGAAGGGAGUUUGAUUCUCAUUGUUGUGUGCAUAUUCAUAUAUUACUUUUAAGCUUAUUACUCUCACAAUCUUGAAUUGUCUAAUAUUUUUUUUUUUUUAGAGUAAGCUAAAGUUCUUCUCAUUAUAGUUGAUUGAUAAAUAUCAUUUGGAAAGAACUCAUAUAAGCUUCUGAGUCUUGGCAUCCUUAUUGCCAGAUUCGAAAGCUUGUUUGUGCUAUUUGAUAAAAUACGUUUUUGCGAGCUUAAAUCCUAAUCUCGGUUGUGCUUAAUACUUGAAAAAAUAUUUGUUGAGAUAUUUACUUAGGGUUUUAAAGAUCCUUUGAUUACAUAUUUACUGAUUACAUUAUCUUGAAUCAAAGGUAAUCACCCUCACGAAUAUAUAAAUAUAUACUCAUUUAUUUGAGAGCUGAAAUAUCAAUUAACCAAAUCUCACUUGAGCAAAAAUUCUUAUCAUCUGUGAGUGCAUUGGUUGUAUUAUGCUUAUUAGUGUACGUAUUUGCUUAGCUUAGAAGCAUUUGUAUUGUAUACGAAAUUUAUAUUGAUUAAUUUUAUUCCAGGCGUGGCUUGAAAAGGUGGUGAUAUAGCCUGUAAGGAUCGGUUGUAUUUUAGGCGUAGCCUGAGGUGGGCAUUCUCCGCCCCUUUAAGGAGAGGUUGUAAAGGUUGUGGGCAGCCCUGUUAAUCUGACCUGGAGUUUCCCUUGUCCAGUAAGGAAAGGGUGUUGUAAAUGGUAUUACUCUACCUGUGAAGUGAGUUUUAGUGGAAUCCUCUUGCUUGUGAGCCAGAGGCGAGGACGUAGGCACAGUUGCCGAACCUCGAUAACAUAUCAUGUGUCAUUGUGCCUUUAUUGUCUUUACAUUCUGAUGCUUGCUUAUUAAUUCUGUAUCUGCUAAAUUCAUUGCAUAGAUAUUUAACUACGCUUUUGUGAUUGCUUGUGUAAUACUGAAACUGCUUUAUCUGCUUAGCUUAUCUGAACAUCCAUGUAUUGGUUGAAUUGGAACUGUUUAGAAAAGACCCCAGGUUGUGUAUUACUAACUGCGAUUUGAACUUAACCUAAGAAGGAUAAUUUUUAAAUACUCAAUUCACCCCCUUCUUAGGAAUACACCAAUUCCAACAUUUAGUAUCAAAGUCUCGUUGCAAAAAGGUUAACCGCUUAUGUAAAAGAUUGCAAUUACUCAGUUUUGUGUAUCCCCAUUUGGUGAGGGAUUGCCACUUACUAGACCUUCUGUAUUUUAUGGUCUUAAUUACGCCCGUUGAAAAAUAAGGAUGAACAAUUUUAUAAAAUCUAUGGAUUGGAGGGCCUAGCAAGUGAUUGCUAAAAGAAAUUGUGUGCAAAUAAAUAAAAAUGAAUUUAGUUUUAAUUAAUUCAUAUGUCAUAGAUAUGUUAUAUUGUGCAUUAGAUUCUAAUGUUUUUCUUGAGAUCAUGGCAUGUAAAAGUACACAAGAAAUUUGGGAUGAACUCAAAAGGAAAUAUGGAGAAUUCUGGGAGAAUGAGACCACCACUUUGGAAGUGUCAAGAUUUGAUGAUUAGGAAGUGGUAAAUGAUAUAGUAAUAGCAUUAGUAGACCAAGAGGUAUAUGAUCCUCACUUUGUGUCUAUUGAUGAUUCUUGUAUUGAAAAAUUCUAUAUAUCAUGCGCUGAAUCAUCUAAUGCUUCUUGUGAAAAUUCUGCUAAAUCUUAUGAUAUUGUUGAUAAUGCAUGCAAUGAUUCAUAUAAUGAUAAUUGUAAUAAUUUUUGUGA